rnacentral:rRNA from 1 species
AAAACAUAACCUUUAGCUAAAACUAGUAUUAAAGGCAAUGCCUGCCCAGUGAAAAUGUUUUAACGGCCGCGGUACCCUAACCGUGCAAAGGUAGCGUAAUCAUUUGUCUAUUAAUUGUAGACCAGUAUGAAAGGCCACAUGAGAGCCAAACUGUCUCUUGUAGUUAAUCAAUUAAACUGAUCUUUCAGUACAAAAGCUGAAAUAAGUAUAUAAGACCAGAAGACCCUGUGAAGCUUAAACUAACCUAUUAAAUCAACUAAUAGCUACUUUCGGUUGGGGCGACCUUGGAACAAAAUAAAACUUCCAGAUAAAAUGAGCCAUACCUCAUAACACAGGCCCACAAGCCACUUAACGACCCAGUAUGACUGAUAAAUGAACCAAGUUACUCCAGGGAUAACAGCGCCAUCUUCUUCAAGAGCCCAUAUCAAAAAGAAGGUUUACGACCUCGAUGUUGGAUCAGGACACCCCGAUGGUGUAGCCGCUAUCAAAGGUUCGUUUGUUCAACGAUUAACAGUCCUACGUGAUCUGAG